AUUGAACGCUGGCGGCAGGCUUAACACAUGCAAGUCGAGCGGGGAAAGGUAGCUUGCUACCUGACCUAGCGGCGGACGGGUGAGUAAUGCUUAGGAAUCUGCCUAUUAGUGGGGGACAACAUCUCGAAAGGGAUGCUAAUACCGCAUACGUCCUACGGGAGAAAGCAGGGGACCUUCGGGCCUUGCGCUAAUAGAUGAGCCUAAGUCGGAUUAGCUAGUUGGUGGGGUAAAGGCCUACCAAGGCGACGAUCUGUAGCGGGUCUGAGAGGAUGAUCCGCCACACUGGGACUGAGACACGGCCCAGACGCCUACGGGAGGCAGCAGUGGGGAAUAUUGGACAAUGGGGGGAACCCUGAUCCAGCCAUGCCGCGUGUGUGAAGAAGGCCUUUUGGUUGUAAAGCACUUUAAGCGAGGAGGAGGCUACCGAGAUUAAUACUCUUGGAUAGUGGACGUUACUCGCAGAAUAAGCACCGGCUAACUCUGUG
rnacentral:rRNA from 1 species